UCUGUAUACGGCUUCGGUCAAAAUUAAACAGAACAUCCUGAGGAUAUAACGAGCAAUUUGGAAAAAUAAAUUUGUUGGUUUCACAAGAUCACAAGAAAAACAGUGUUCGGGGAGAUGACUCUUAUAUGGGAAAGUAUUCAGUUAAGCAGGGUCAGUUUCAAAAGCGUAUAAACUGUUCGAUAUCAUAUUUUAAAUAUCUAAGCGACAUCUUGAAAAAAAAAAAAACUGAAGGAAAAAAAUUUGGUGGAAGAAAAAAAAAUAAUCAGAAGAAAACCAAUAGGUCUUUCCACGGAAAAGUAGAAAGACCUAAUAAUAAUC
rnacentral:lncRNA from 1 species